GGCUCACUGGUGGGCAGUACUGCUUAUGGGAAUUGCCCUGAUCAUGCUAAUGGCUGGAUUUAUCAAGAUUUGCAGUGUUCACACUCCAAGUAGUAAUCCAAAGUUGCCUCCUCCUAAACCACUUCCAGGCACUUUAAAGAGGAGGAGACCGCCACAGCCCAUUCAGCAGCCCCCGCGUCAGAGGCCCCGGGAGAGUUAUCAAAUGGGACACAUGCGACGCUGAUGCAGCUUUUGCCUUGGUUCUUCCUAGUGCCUACAGUGGGAAAACUUCACUCCAAAGAGAAACCUGUUAAGUCAUCAUCUGCAAAUGAAACCCUCACAGUUAAUAGUUGAAGAAAAAAUGGCAAGAGAUCAUGUCCUCAGACCAGGUGGAAUUACCUAAAAUUUAAAGCCUGAAAAUUCCAAUUUUUUGGGGGGGGUGGGAUGGAAAAGGAACCCAAUUUUCUUAUGGACAGAUAUUUUUAACCUAAUGGCACAAAGUCUUAGAAUAUUAUUAUGUGCCCUGUGUUCCCUGUUCUUCGUUGCUGCAUUUUCUUCACUUGCAGACAGACUUGGCUCUCGAUAAACUUUUAUCACAAAUUGAAAUAUAUUUUUUUCAACUGCCAAUCAAGGCUGGGAGGCUCGACCACCUCAACAUUGGAUACAUCACUUGCCAAUGUACAUACCUUGUUAUAUGCAGACAUGUAUUUCUUACGUACACUGUACUUCUCUGUGCAAUUGUAAACAGAAAUUGCAAUAUGGAUGUUUCUUUGUAUUAUAAAUUUUUCCGCUCUUAAUGAAAAAUUACUGUUUAAUUGACAUACUCAGGAUAACAGAGAAUGGUGGUGUGCAGUGGUCCAGGAUUCUGUAAUGCUUCAUGCAGGCCAUUUUGAAAUGAGAAUUGUUUUCCCUUUUUCUUAUGGUGGAGUUGGUUCUUACAUGCAUCCUUUUCCCUGUUCCAUGGCUGCUGUGAGUAGGAGAGGCUGUGUUGAAGAGCUCAGCUGGUGGCUUACAAACCGGGCAGCAACAGCGUUUGGCUUCAGUCAGUUCUUCAUGUCAUUGUCUGAUUUCUGCGUUAGUACUUUAUACUUUCUAAAUCAACUCCGUUUUAAAUUGCUAGGUGAAUUUUUUUUCACGCCUUGGUAGGAAUUAUGUUGGAAAUGAUCGUUUUCAUCUGUAGCCUGCUUAUUACUCUGUGUAUUCCAUGUACUUCAAGCCUGCUAAUUCUGUUUUUAUCUGAUAUGGAAAAGAAAAUCAGUGUCUUCAUUGAAAUAUUUGGACAGUUCUUCAGCACACUGUCACUGAUCAUUGGUAACCACUAGAGAUGAGUAAUUUGCUCAGCAGGUAGUUGAAAUUGUAGAUAGGUUUUCUGAUGUUGUUUUCCCCCCAAGACAUUUUAGCAACAAUGAAGGUAGACAGCACAGUGUCCCAUUACAAACUUCCGUUUUUAAGCAGAUAUAAAUAUUGGCAUUUUUAAAGAAAGAGAAAGCAAAAGCAUUUAAUGUAUUAACAGGCUUAUCGCUAUGCAGAAAAUGGAGGGGGCAUUAAAAAUAUGUAAGCUUGUGACAUACUCAUUGCUUCUGUUUUCCAGCUACAUCACUUAAAUUAGAAGUCAGCAGCAGUGAUUUUCCUGGCUUUACAUAAGUUCUUAAGAGUCUAAGGUUUACACAAUCACUCACAAUGUGACGCGAGCCAGCAAGGCCAAAACCGCUAGAGAAACAAUGGGAUCUCUCCUUGUAAACUUGUACAGUACGCGGGACUUUUUUCAAAACAGCUUUUUGUACAUGAUUUAGAGACAAAUUUUGUACAUGAAACCCCAGAUAGACUAUAAAUAAUUCUAACCCAACAAGUAGGUAGCUGUGUAUGACACUGCUUUAAAUCAUUCAAAUGCCUUUGUUUGUGGACUGUGCAAAGGUUGGAAGUGGGUUUGCAUUUCUAAAAUGGUGACUUUUAUUCUGCAAGAGUUCUUAGUAACUUCUUGAGUGUGGUAGACUUUGGAACAUGUACAUUUUUUGCUUGUAAUGUUAUCCUGUGGUAGGGUUUUCGCAGUUAUGCACUGCCCUAUUUUAUUUUGAGUCUAAGUUAAAUGUUUUCUGAGGAGAUACAUGCACUGAACUGUUUCCACUACAAAUCAAGAUGUGGUAAAAAAUGAAAGAACCAGGACCAGUAAGAUCUAAUACUACUGUCAGUUUAAUGUCCACUGUGUUUUAUACAGUAUCUUUUUUUUGUUGUUGUUCACUUUGGAAAUUUUUACUAAAACCUGCAAAAAAUAAAGUAUUGUGCAAAGAUGUAAGGGUUUUUGAAACUUGAAAUGCAUUAAUAAAUAGACUUGAUGAAAUCAA
rnacentral:lncRNA from 1 species